rfam:Oryza sativa Japonica Group DNA, chromosome 5, cultivar: Nipponbare, complete sequence.
UCCUAGAAAUACCAUAGUUUUGUCUAACGUUUGACCGUCCGUUAUGAUUAGUAUUUUUAUUAUUAUUAGAUGAUGAAACAUGAAUAGUAUUUUAUGUGUGAUUAAUUUUCUAAUAACAUUUUCAAAUAAGACAGACGGUCAAAUUUUAAACAUGAAAAUUCAUAACUGCACUUAAA